CUGCACGACAGUGCGAUAAGGGGACCCCGAGUGCGAGGGCAUACAGUCCUCGCUUUUCUGAACGGUAAGGACGUUCAGGAACAAGUGCUGGGCAAGACCGGUGCCAGCCGCCGCGGUAAUACCGGCAGCACGAGUGAUGGCCGAUCUUAUUGGGCCUAAAGCGUCCGUAGCUGGCCGAGCAAGUUCGUCGGGAAAUCCACCAGCUCAACUGGUGGACGUCCGGCGAAAACUGUUCGGCUUGGAGCCGGAAGACCCAAGGGGUACGUCCGGGGUAGGAGUGAAAUCCUGUAAUCCCGGACGGACCGCCGAUGGCGAAAGCACCUUGGGAAGACGGACUCGACAGUGAGGGACGAAAGCUGGGGUC
rnacentral:rRNA from 1 species